rnacentral:SRP_RNA from 1 species
GCCGGGCACGGUGGCACGUGCCUGUAAUCCCAGCUACUCGGGAGGCUGAGGCUGGAGGAUCGCUUGAGCCCAGGAGUUCUGGGCUGCAGUGAGUUAUGCCGAUCAGGUAUCUGCACUAAGUUCGGCAUCAAUAUGGUGACCUCUCGGGAGCGGGGGACCACCAGGUUGCCUAAGGAGGGGUGAACCACCCCAGGUCGGAAACGGAGCAGGUCAAAACUCCCGUGCUGAUCAGUAGUGGGAUCGCAACUGCACUCUAGCCUGGGCAACAUACCGAGAUCCCAUCUCU